GGAUUGCCUCAGUAACGGCGAGUGAAGCGGCAACAGCUCAAAUUUGAAAUCUGGCCUCUUUGGGGUCCGAGUUGUAAUUUGUAGAGGAUGUUUCGGGUACCGCCUCGGUUUAAAUUUCUUGGAACAGAAUGUCAGAGAGGGUGAGAAUCCCGUCUUGGACCGGCGGUAGGGCCCAUGUGAAACUCCUUCGACGAGUCGAGUUGUUUGGGAAUGCAGCUCAAAAUGGGUGGUAAAUUUCAUCUAAAGCUAAAUAUUGGCCAGAGACCGAUAGCGCACAAGUAGAGUGAUCGAAAGAUGAAAAGCACUUUGAAAAGAGAGUUAAGCAGUAUGUGAAAUUGUUGAAAGGGAAGCGCUUACAACCAGACUUGAGCGCGGCGGUUCCCCCUUCCUUUUGGUUGGGCUACUCCGCCGUGUCCAGGCCAACAUCGGUUCUGGGGGUUGGUUAAAGGCUCUGGAAAUGUACCUACCCUUCGGGCGUAGACUUAUAGCCCAGAGUGUCAUGCGACCUCCCGGGACCGAGGAACGCGCUUCGGCUCGGAUGUUGGCGUAAUGGUUGUCAGCGA
rnacentral:rRNA from 1 species